rnacentral:lncRNA from 1 species
CAAUCAAUGCACUAACCGUAUGUUGCAUCAAUAGCAUAAUGAGGACUCGACAAUAUCACCCCACUGUUAUAUAUGCUUCCUCGAAUCAAUCUCUAACAUACACGGAAUAUUAUGAUAAAAGAAAAAAUAUUUUCACAAAAAGGUUAAGUUCAAUAUUGCCAUCAACACAUACGAAGCAAACAAAGAAACCAAGGGAAAUUGAUAGUAACUCAACAACAGUUUCGAAAACACACAGAAUAAUAUUACCUGAAGUAGAGGUAGCUCCAAAGGAGGACCCUGAAACCAUUUUUGGAGACCUAAACCAUCUUGUUG